GGUACCGUCAGGCCUAACGUGUAUUAUACGUUAGGAGGUUCUUCCCCUCCUGACAGAGCUUUACGACCCAAGAGCCUUCAUCACUCACGCGGUAUUGCUGCGUCAGGCUUUCGCCCAUUGCGCAAAAUUCCCC
rnacentral:rRNA from 1 species